AGCGUGUAAAAAAUUAUGGUAUAUUCUUAUACAACCUUCUUCUGUUUAGACUACAGACUUAAAUAAUGGCUCCCUCUAAAUCAGACUUUGGGGAGGUUCACAUGACUUACCAAGUAAAAGCUAAAAUAUAAAUGAGUCCUAUUACAGAAGCUAAGUUUUUGAGACUCUGUGGCAUCUUAAAGUUUUAGAAUAGAAAAGCCUGUGAAAAGGGAAGACUUUAAGUAGAAAAAUUAGUACUGACCU
rnacentral:lncRNA from 1 species